GACGAACGCUGGCGGCGUGCUUAACACAUGUAAGUCGAACGAUGAACCCGGAGCUUGCUCCGGUGGAUUAGUGGCGAACGGGUGAGUAACACGUGAGUAACCUGCCCUUGACUCUGGGAUAACUGCGGGAAACUGUAGCUAAUACCGGAUACGACCCUCGGCGGCAUCGCCAGGGGGUGGAAAGAAUUUCGGUCAAGGAUGGACUCGCGGCCUAUCAGCUAGUUGGUGAGGUAAUGGCUUACCAAGGCUAUGACGUCUAGGGGGGGUGAGAGCUUGGCCCCCACCGAUGGUACUGAGACACGGACCAUACACCUACGGGUGGCCGCAGUCGAGAAUCUUCCGCAAUGGGCGAAAGCCUGACGGAGCGACGCCGCGUGAUGGAUGAAGACCUUAGGGUCGUAACAUCUUUUAUGAGGGAGAAAGUUUAUUGAUAGUACCUCAAGAAUAAGGGGUUGCUAAACUCGUGCCAGCCGCCGCGGUAA
rnacentral:rRNA from 1 species